AAGAAGAGAAAUAUUAAGAAAAGAACUGCUAACUUUUUGAGAUCUACUUCUAAACCAGAGCUAUCAUAUGGAUCAUCUGGGAAAAUGAUUGCAGCAAUUCGAGUUGUCGCAAGGUUGCUGUUUCUUACUGACCUGUAGACCAAUACAACUAGUGUAAGCCCUUGCAUUACAUAUCGGCGGUCUUUGAAGGACAGGAUACACUAGUCUUCUUUUUCCAUUAUUAGCUUGUAGAAUCCUUGUGUUGGUUUCCGAUUCUACCAGGAGUCAUCAUCAUUUACAUCACCUAUGCUGCUGGUGCCAUUGCAUUCUAAUUGGCUACUACUCCCACACCUUGUUAUUGAUACAACUUACUAGGUGUCUAUACAUAGGUUUGCGACAUUUGAUAAAAUGAACCAUUUUUUAUUUUCACAACCAAAAAUACAAAAAAAUCAAGAGGAAACAAACAGUUUGGAAAAGUAAGAUCCCAAACUAACAUGAAAAAUAAUACAAAGAUAUCCUCUACUUGUACAACACUCCUCAUAAGAGUAGUUGUUUUCUACUUAAUUUGGUUUUGGUUCUAUUCAUUUAUCACAUCCUUAUAUUAUACUAGUAUAUACUACCUUUGCCUUCAUGGUGUUGAAUCCCACCACUUUAACGACAUGUUGUGUCAUAGUACUUUAUGACUAUUUUGGAGGCUAUAUUUUAUUUGUUUGGAUAGAGAUGGAUGGAGAAAAGUACAACUACAAAUACUUAUUUAAAGUAAGAGGUAAAAUUUAACUUGGUUAAUACAUGAGUGGUACAAAAAAUAGAUACUUAGCCUAGGUCAAUUUCAAAAAUAUAGUUCAUGAGGUAAGAAUUGAUUGACACAGGUAAAGAGAGAUUUAGGAGGUCAUAGGGAGAGUUUGAAUCACAUAAACAUUUAUACAUAAUCUAGACAAACACUAACGGAUAGGUUUCGAGGAUCCGUUCUAAGUGAGAAUAGGUGGUUAGGCAUCGGUAUGUCAGUACCCGGUGGGGUGGAGGUGGGAUGACUCGUGAGGAGACAAUCAACAUGAAUUGCUACUUAUGAAACUUUUUCACUUUCACUAAAGAAGUUCAUUUUUCUGAAUUUUAAGCAAUUUAGUUUAUUUUCUUAAAGAAUUUUUUUUUAAUGACAUUUGACAACCAAAAAUGAAAAAAAGGAGUUCGAUGCACCAAAGCUUCCUCUAUGUGCAGGGUAUCGGGAAAGACCCCACCAUAAGAGUGUAUUGUACGUAAUCUUACUUUGCAUUUCUACCAGGGACUAUUUUCAAAACUUGAGAUAGUGAACUUUUGGUUAGAUGGCUCCAAUGAGAUUUGAUGACCAUUAAGAAAUGUUCACAAAGUUUACCUGAAAAUAGUUUCAUGACUAAAGUGUGAGUAACUUCAAAUUUUGCAAAUCAAACUUUCCAAUAACUGACCUUUCCUCUGUGCACUUUGAGUAGGCAAUAAAUGGCUAGAGUCAUUAAUGCCUUGAAGAAACUUUAAAUAUUUAGAAGAACAAAACCAAAAACAAGGACUCUUUUCUUCUUGUUAUAAAUCCCAAGCCAACUUGAAUGCACCUCGACUAAUUCCACACGAUACAUGCUAACGCCUGUCAGCAUCCUGAGUAACUCUAUCUGACAAGACUUAGAUAGGUAGAAUGGCAAAACCUAACAUUUUCCCUUUAGUGAGCUUUGAAAAGAGACAUCAUGGUUCUCAAUAUCAGUUCAUAACUAGUAUGUAUCGUAAACGAGGACUCUUGUAUCUAUAACUACCCAUUUUUGUAUACUUCCACAACAUGAAAAAAUACUUAUAGCAAUUAGCAGAUGUAUUUGAAGAACAUGGAAAUGCCUCAUCAAAUGUUCUCAGACAAGUCUUGACAAAAAUCAUGUUGCAUCAGAUUAUCCAAAGGUCAUUUCCUUACACAGAUGUUUGCCAUUCUAAAUUUAACCAAUAGUAACCUAACGACAUGUUGAAGAAGGACCCUGAACUGAGGAUUUGGUCAGUAAAAGGGACAACUUUGUCUCUCAGGAAGAAUGGUUACUUUCUAGCCAACUGAUUUGGUUGAUCAUAUAACUAGAAGAGAUUGUGUCACAGUAGACAUGUUGCAGUGGACAAAGCAAUGACUUGUGAUCAACAAUUAUGAUUAAUAUGCUAAAAGAAGUAGCAAUAAACCUAAAGUCACUUUGUACCAAGACUUGAGAAACAUCAAUUAUACCUAAUUGGCAUAAUUCUAAUGUCACCUAAAGGUCCAUUGACUUGACUAGUAGUAAGAAAUUGAAUUCCAGUUUCAUUUCAAAGAGCAUUUAAAAUAGUAACACAAAUGAAGUUGUCCCAUCAAGAUUUAGUAUCCUUCACCUUUCUAUUGUACCAUGACUCUAAUAAUUGAUUAUGUAUGAUUAUUUUCUAAGCACUUCCCCCAACUUUACAUGCAAACUUGGAGAGACCCCAUAUAAUAAUAACGUCUCUUUUGGUUCUUCGAUCUUCCAGAGAUGUAUAUUUUUGUUCUGCUAGUCUUCGGGGAAGGACACACAUGCCAACUAUGUUUAUGAUACAAUGAGAUGGUCCAAUGUGACAUUGUCAAAGUUAGCAUCAUACGAUUAGCCAUUUAAGCAUUCUAGUGUUAAUGCAGAUAUAACAAAAUGAUAAACUCAAGAUAUACAAGGAUGAAAAUAUCCUGCUGCAUUACAAAAGCUUUCUAUGAUCGCUCAGUAAACAAAAAACUGUUGAUUAUGUUAUUCAGACACAAAAAAGUCAUGUACUUGUGGUACUGAUCUAUGAACAAUAACAAUUAGAACAAUACCUUGUCUUAACAUCCUUGACAUCUCUACUAGGUGCUAUACUAACAAUUGAGCAUACAAAAGAACCAUGUCUUAUUAGAACAACCCUAGGACCUUCAUUGUUACUUGUUAUUCUACAUGUCCAGUUCAAAAAUAGUAAAUUAACAAUAUCAACUUUUAUGGUAAUGUUGUUGUUGGUACCAUUAAAAUCUUGGCUAGCAUCCACACAUACAAAUUUUUGCAUAUUUGUGAUUUCCAACAUAACGAUCGUAAUUAGAAGAAUUAUAAGGAACAUUUUGUAUUGCACUUCACUUCCCAUCUCUCCAAAUGUAUUAUUCCAUCUUGUUUCAUUUAUUUUUUUCAAGAAUUCAUAAUUUGACAUUUCUCUCUGUUUCUCUUUGGCGUUAGUACUUAAGAGAUGCAAUUUGCAAGCUACUACAUUAUUAAUUUGGUCUAGUUGAGAUAUGAAAUAAAUGGAUACCACAUUGUUUGUACUAUCUCAUAUGUAUACUUCAAUAGUGAAACCUCACCAUCCACUAGCCAUGUCUGCUCAUUCUCAACCACCUAUAUGGAGCCAUCUAAUUCUACCUAUCUAUAAAUAUAUUUAUGAUUUCCUCAGUAGUUAGCCUGAUAAGAGUGUACUUAUUUAACAUGUUAGAAAAUUUUUGCAUCGGAUUCAAGGAUAAUAGAGAAACAACAAAAGAAGCUAAACCCAUAGAAAUCAAAAAAUAAAUCAAGGAGAAAUAAAAAAUGUUCACGCAAUCAAAUGAACCCAAUAAUCAAAUGUUCUCUAAGGAGAAGAAAAAUAAAAAAUCCCCAAAAAUUAGGUCAAAGUCGUAGAAGAAUACACUAACCUUAAAAUUCCCAAAUUGAAGCAAUUGAAGUGCAAAUUUGAAAGAAAUUAAAGUAAGAAGGGGCUUGUUCCAACAAGUCAUAUGAUUUAGCGGCUUUCAAAUAGAAUUAUAUUUUCAGCAUAUUGAUAUGUUAACUAAUAUUAGUUUUGACAUCUAGUAUUGAUUUUGCUUUUAUUAUGAUCAUGCCAUUUUAGUUUAGUUUCCUCUUAGUAUAAACAAUUUGCUUUAGUGUUCUUAGUGUUUUGCCAGACCAUUGGUUACUUAGGGUCACUUGUAACUAUGAGCACUAUGUUUCACACGACCUAAACUAGGGCCUAGUCAUGUUGGGAGCCUUAAGUUCAAUCAUGACUGGAGACCACCCCUAAUACCCCAGUGCUAUCCAUCUUACAUCACAUGUCAGAUGAAUUUUGACAUAUAAAAAGAUAUGAUAAUGUCCAAAUUAAAGAUAUGAUAAAGCUUAAAACCAAAUUCAAAAACCACAACCAAUUAACUAUCCAUUACUGAUCCAAUGCCAAUACCAAUACCAAUAUUAACGCUAAUACCGACACUGUCCAUGCCCAUACUAGUCUAAUAAAGCCUCUAACAAAAGUCAAAGAACAUCCAAUCGGGACAUACCCCCAACCAUAGCUAAAACAAAAUAAGUAAAAAUGACAUAAAGAAGUCCAUAAUAUAAAAUUGGGUCUUUUGGAGUAGGGUAGGUCACCACUUAAAUCUGACUCAAAGCUAUUCCCAGUUCCAAGUCACUGAGCUGAAGAAAUGGUAGUAUGGCUAGUUCCUGCAUCGUGUUGGGAUACAGUGCCAGAAGAUUGUUAGCAGAGUGACUGCUAACAUAUACUUAGGGAUAAAGAUCAAAUAAUGCCAUUAUUAAAAAAAAAAACCAAAUAACCAUAUGCAAUCAUAUAUAAUUUAAAUCCUUAACCUGGGUUGUGUAGCUUAAUCAUCAUAAAAUCCACCUACGGGCUAUAUAGAUCCAGCUCCCUCUGCUGAAAGGGCCUCAGUGUAUGUUAGCUGCACGAACCAAGGAAAAAACUUUGGAUGACUAGUACAGCCCCCAUAAUAUAAGCGUGACAUCAUGUACACGGUCAUCUUGACCAAACCUCACAUCGGCAAACAUGAGUUUCCAGUGUCCAUCCAUCGAAUGCACACCUUUAUAACUAGCUAUCACAACCCGACAUUAUUGCCUAAUUAAACCUUUUAGACAUAACCAAACCAUCAACUUCUAGGAGUCAAUUGUCAAGACAUUAUAAAGUGGUAUCGCCAUACUAACUAUAUCUUGCAAGCAAUGUCAUUAGCCAAACCUUAGGGGAUUUCCAUGUACUUCGCAAACUCUAUUAUUAAAAUCACUUUGGGGAAUCCUAUGUACCCCACAAGGUUUUCAAUACAAUCCAAUUUAUGAACAUCAAAUCCUUUAUAAGUCCUUCAUUUAUUUCUAACAAGGUUACGCCAAAGCUUUAGUUCAAAAACAUAAUUUUUAAAUUAGUGACAAUAUCAUUUUCAUUGAGAAUUUCACAAACUGGUUUAGGGCAUGCCUUUAUCAAGACCAAAAUCAUCAAAUUUGGAGCUCAACCAUGACCCCUUAAUUAAAUCACCAUUCCUAUGCACCCACAUGUCGAAAAUGUUAAUUGAAACAAGGAAAACCUUAAUUAAAACACGAGAAACAUUAAUCAACCAGGAACAUCCCAAAACCCUCAACCUUUUCUUUAAAACCAAAACAAGACCAUGAAAACCAUACAUUAAAAGAUAUUACUUAAGUAAAAUAACAACUAGGGAGGAGUACAAUGCCUUAGACACCAGGAAGUAUGGAGAGAAACCACCCUUGAGAGCCUUAAUUGAUUAUCUGUAUAAAACCCCAACUUUUGCUUGAAUAGAUAGUUUGAGAGUGUUUUAUUGGGAAUAAUGUGUUAAUAAAGUCCCAAAGAGUGUUUUAAGUCAUAAUAUCAAAGGGAGUUAAAGAGGGAAAUAUUUAAAUGCCCCCAGCUUAAAACUGUAAAAAGGUCGCAGGUGGUUAUGAGUCGGCCCCAGUGACUCAUGACCAAAACAUACAAUUGGUACCAUUGAAUCAUCACCAAGAUAGUGAGUUGGUUACCUAUACACUAUCAACCAUAUGGCUUCAUGAUCCCACACGUUACCUAACUAUAUGACUCCUAUGGUCUAGUCAUAUACAGGACAGAACCCAAAGGGAUUGGACCCUGGAAACAUACGACUCAACCCUGCCACUCGUAACCUAUCCUCACGACUCUUAGUGAGCCACUUGUACUCAGAUCCAAUUCAAGAUACUAAUUAAGGAUCGCCCUAACGACUCUUCACAACCCCUAAUGACUUAUAUCACCAAGUCAUUACCAAGAUCGAAAAUGUAACAACCACCCAUUGGAUACCUAACGAAUAGGGUCACUUGACCCUUACCCUUACCAUACGACUCGUAUGGUUAAGUCAUCAAUAGGAUAUUAAGAUCAAAGCUCAAGAAAUUUCCAAGGGCCAAAACCCAGUGUGUUUUAAUUCUUCCCCACUUGGAUCAGUCUUCCUCGAAUAAUAAGACAAGGAGUUGACUAGAAUAAUUAAUACCCCUAAGCACCCCUACCCUUACCUUUAAAACAAAAUAUGGAAUAUCAAGGAAUUUUACAUCUUACCUUUUAAAAAGAUAUAAACAUAGAUACUAAGAAUAGUACAUACCUCAAGGACAAUUUUCCAGAAUGGGAAAUACGAAUGGAUACUUUGACUUUAUGUCCUUUCAGCUUCCCGUGUAGCCUCUUCGACCUUAUGGUUCAUCCAUAGAACCUUUACCAAAGCUACGUCCUUGGUCCACAAAUGAUGAACCUGCCUAUCUAAGAUCUCAACAGGGACCUCCUCAUAAGACAGGGAAUCCUAAAUACCAAUAUCCUUAAUCGGAACAAUUUAUGAUGGAUCACCCACACGUUUGCUCAACAUAAAAAUAUAGAACACUAGGUAAAUAGAGAUCAAACUAGAAGGAAACUCCAACUUAUACGUAACAUUCCCAACCCUUCUUAAAACCAAGUAUGGACCAACAUGCGAUAAAAUAAGCUUCCCCUUCUUCCUAAACUGUAUCACUCUCUUCAUAGGAGAUAUCUUCAAGAACACCCUAUCCCCACCCUUAAACUCUAACUUCCUAUGCCUCACAUCCAUAUAGUACUUUUGGAAACUUUGGAAAGAUUUAUGUAUAUCCCAACACCUUCACCUUCUCUAUGGCUUGGUGAAAAAAAUCUGGACCAAACAUCUCUGUCGCACAAAUCUCGAAACACACAAUAGGAGACCUACACCUCCUACCAUGAAAUGCCUCAAACAAAGCCAUCCAAAUGCUAGAGUGGUAGCUAUUAUUACACGCUAACUCUAUAAAAUGCAAAUGCUCAACCCAACUACCACCAUAGUCAAUCACACAAUCUCUAUGCAUAUCUUUUAAUAUCUCAAUAGUGCUUUCUGCUUGCCAUCCGACUAUAGGUGGAAAGCAGUACUAAGAGUUAUCUUAGUCCCCAAAAUUUUUUGAAACGAUGACAGAAAGUGUGAUAUAAACUGCAUACCAUAAUCCAAGAUAAUAGAAAUUGGAACCCCCUGCAACUUCAUAAGAUCUUGGAGGUACAAACUUGAAUAAUCCUCCGCCGAAAAAUUAGUCCUCACUGACAAAAGGUGAGCAAACUUAGUCAUCCUAUCUAUGAUGACCUAAAUUAAAUCAAACUAAUUCCGGGAUAGCGGAUGACUAGUAAUGAAAUCUAUGUUGAUGAUAUAACACUUUGGGCCUCAUAUGCUCAACUUUCACUAGUUGGCACACCAUACACUUAGCCACAAAACUAGCCAUAUCUCGAUUCAUAUUUUCCCACCAAUAUAUUUCCUUAAGGUCAUGAUAUAUUUUCGUCAAGCUAGGAUGAAUAGAACAAUGUAAAUCAUGCACCUCAGCCAAGAUCAUCUCUCACAAUCCAUCCAUAUCUUAAAGGCAUAAUUUUCCUUGGUACCAGAAGGUAUCAUAACCCCUAACCUUAAAAUCCAUUACUUUCUGCCUACCUACAUCACCCUUGAUCCUCAUCAAGAUAGGAUCUAACACGUGCUUCUCCUUCUACUUAGCACUUAGGGACGACUUUGCUACCUAGAGUGUACAUAAAAUCCAAACAUUUAUUCUUGUUCCCUAUUCCUGAUAAUCAAGCUGAAGGUAUGUAUAUUUAUUGACAUUUUGUUUUCUAUCCUUUUUAAAGGUAAGUGUGGUUAUAUUUUGAGUCUAAUCAUGUGCAUACAUGCCUUGACCCAUCAUUCAAGGACAAAUGAUUCAAGUGGGGGAUAAUCAAAACACCUCAGAUUUUUGGUCCUUGAAUUUUUUUUUGAGUUCUAAGCUUUCUGCACUAGAAAUAACUCAUCUAAUGAGUCAUAAUGUGUCCUUACGGGUUAUAAGACCCAGUCGUAAUGAGCCCAGAAGGAUUUCUUGACAUAUUACAUUGAUAAUGACUGGAGUUUAAUGAGAACUAUAGACUCCUAACUAUUCAUAUGAAGAGUAUUUUUAAUGUGUCCAGUGUAGUGCCUCUAUUGGGCUGUUGAGACUAUGAAUUGACCCUAUGAGUCAUAGUGUCUCAUUAUGGGAUGUAGGGUGCUAGUCAUAGGGUUCACAGUGAAGAGCCAAUAGGGGUUAUAGUUUGGCUAUGAUUGGAGAGUCCAAUUCGUAGGGUGACCCUAUGAGUCAUAAGGUCACCAUUACUACUGACGAUUUAAUUUCCAAAUUUUAAUAAAGGUCUUUUAGAUAUCUCUCUCUUUGCCUAAACAUAACCCACAACCUAUAAACUCUAUUGAGACUUUUUUUCCACCUAUAACACAAUCAAAACAUAUCCUUUUUUUUUCAAAUUCUCUAAAGCCAAGCAAGCCAGGGUUUCCUUAAGGUUUAGCACCCUGGGGUCAAUUCAAGGUUUUCUCUCCAUAAUUGUAAAUAUUUUAGGUAUGUGAUUCUUCCCUCAUUGUUAAAUUAUUAAAGAAUAUGUAUUAAAAUAUUAUUUACAUGGAAUUAUUUUUAUUUUUAAAACAAGGUUUGUGGUUUUUGAAUGCUUAUUAUUCAAUGAUAUUUUUCCAUGGUUUAAUUAUGAUCAUUAAUGUUUUAAAUAUGGUUUUGAACUUGUAGGUGAAUGUGAAUGGUGAUUAAAUGGAGGAGUCAUGGGUAAACCCCAAUUUGAUGAUUUUGCCUUGAUUAUGGCUUUGGAAAUUGUAUGCCCUCAAUAUUUUUGUGAAAUUGUCAAUGAAAAAGGAAUUUUGUCACAUAAAUUAGUUUAACCACUUGUAAUAAUGCAUUGUCAUAAAAAGAAUAAUGAAGUAUGUAUAUUUUCCUUAAUAGUCCUUGGUGGCCAUAUAUAAAUAAUGGAAUUGGAACCUUAUGGGUUUGGUUGAUUAAAUAGGUUUGAGUCCCAAAUGAUUGUUUUUUUAAUAUCUUUUGACUUAUAAGUUUGAUUCCCAGUUAGUUGAGUAGAUUACAUGAUGAUAUUAGCUUGCAAGCGAGAUUGGUAUGACGAUACCAUUGGGAUGCCUUGGUGUGUAAUUUUUUUAAAUAAAAAUAUGAAUAAGUAUUAAUUUUUUUAAUUGGGGUUUGAAAUAAGGUUGUGUAGCUAUGUCGUUAAAGUGGAAGUCUAAGUGACCGAAACUUUAAAAUGCACUAGCUGGUGUGGGGGUCGUUAUGGCUUGAAGUUUUGAGUCCCCUUUCUUGUGACCAGGAUGUUCUAGUCCACCUUAUUGAUAUUAUUAUUAUUUAAGAGUUUGAGUCCCCCAUAUAACAUUUCAUGAUUGGGUUCUUAAGUCACUUUAGUAUAUGAUUGGAGGGUUCUAGUCCACCGUGCAUAUAUACAAUCUUUCUCUGAUUCGUGCAGCUACAUGCAUUAGGACUGAACAAGUGGUAAGAGAUGGGGUCUAUAUAGCCCAUGGGUACUAUUAUAUGAUGGUUGAGCUACACAAUCCAGGUUAAAAUUUUAAAGUGCAUGUUAAACCUUGUUAUCGAACCUGACAUGUGAUAUAUAUAUAUAUGUAUUUGAUUAUGUGUAUUGGAUUUUAAAUAAGUUUGAAAUUAUUGAUCAUGGUAUUAUGUUAGCCUUAUCCCUGAGUUACAUAUUAGCAUUCACUCUGCUAACCGUCUUAGAAUGUUAUAUCCCCAUGCGAUGUAGGAAUUGGCCAUACUUCUAGUUCUUUAGCAAAGUGAUUUAGAUUCGAGGUUAGUUCAUAUGUUGACAUUGAAGUGGUGAGCUUCCAUACAUCAAAAAUCUUUAUUUCAUAUUUUAGUCUCUUAUCAAAUUAUUUAAACUUGUUUUUUCUAUAGUUGGGAGCAUGUCCCAACACUUUAGCAGUAUUUAGUUUCGGUCCUUUAUUUAGAAGGCUUUGUGGAUUACUGUAGGCUUAGGUGUUGUUAGUAGGUCAUUUGGCCGAUUUUUGGUUGACAGAUUAUAGACAUGGUUUAAAUAUCUUUAAGCUUAUCCUUAUGUUAUCUUGUUAUAUAAUUAGAAUUCAUCCAAUAUGGGUGAUAAUAUGGUGGUUGGUUAGGUGCUAGGGAGUGAGAUUUGGUCCUUAGCAGACUUGAGAUACUUAUCACAGCUAGGUCUUGGUUUGAGUAGUGAUAUUAGGUUGACUUCCUUAGGGAUUUCCCUUUGAGUUAGUAUUAUAUACCCAUAUAUAUAUAUGUAUAUUUACACAUGGUAUUAUUAUAUAUCCCUCUCUUUCCUUAUUUAUUCAUAGGGUAUAUGUACUUCUUGUUCUUGUAUACUACUAUGUAUCAUUUUUUCACUUCUUAUUAGUAUAUUGGCUAGUGAUAUACAAUAUUACACUUAAACUAUGAUUACUGCUAUGAUAAGAUAGUUUAUACUAGUUGCCUCACUAGCAGCAAUGUUUAGUUCUUGGAUAGUUAUUGGUAGUUUGUAUUCCAACUUUACAUAUUAUUUUUGUUUGCAUUAUCUUUGGAUCUCAGUCGGCUGAUGCCUAGUAAGUACCACAUGUUCGGUACUCAUACUAUACUUUUGCAGCCUGUAGAUCAUAAUAUGAUUUCUUACCAUUGUUAUGUGCAGUAAGUGGAGCAACUAUGAAUCAAAGAUUUAGGGAGAGAUCAUGGCAUUCAGUGCACUACUAUUCUUCUUUUUAUUGAUUAUACUAUUAUCUAUAUCAUAUUUAUAGAUAGCUUGUACUUAUAUUCACUCUAUAUUUCACUUUGCACUAUUAUUGUAUUAGAAAAUAUUGUACUAAUUUUAACAAGUUUUGGGUUGCUUUAUAUAUAAGUCUUGUUAUAUUUGUUACACUAUUUUCUUUCAUUUUUUGAUAGACCAUUGCUAACUAUUCUAGACAAUGGGUUGGCUUACCUACUAGUGGGAUAUAGUAUAUGCCAUCAUGAACAAUGAAAUUAGGUCGCGACAAAUUGAUAUAGACCCUAGGUUUUUUAGUGUGAUGGUACAAGAGCUUGAUGUCUAGUAGAGACCUAUAGAUAAGUUUAGAGAUAUCUGUAUCCUAUCUUUGGAAAGCUACAGGGAAUUCUAUUCUUCGAUUCUUGUUAUGUGUUCGUAUUUCUAUGAACCUCUAGUGCAUUUUUUGACUCUAUUCUUUUCCACAUGGAUGAUAAAAGGUAAUCGAUAAAUGUGGUUAAGACUUUCUCACAUAUUUCUAGAGCUUUAGCUUAUUGUCAAGCUAGGGAGUCAAAGAAUAAUUUCAGGGAUCUUGAGUGUCAGUUAGAUGUUUUGGGGCCAGUUCAGGCUCUGGUAGAGUUGGUGACCACUUCUGCCUUUCAAUAUUCAACAUUAGGGAUUUCAAGCAUUUUUUGGAUAUCUCCUAGCCAGAGAUAAUAUCUGAUUCACCAAGAAGUGCUCAUACUAGAGUUUGAUUUAUUGGUGUUCAAUAGUAUUGUUUGUCGGUUUUAGAUUAUAAUAUUAAGCUUCUUGAGUAGGCCAGUCAUACUCCUAUGCUAUAUCCUUCAGAGCAUAAGGUGGUGUAUGGAUUUAUUAAAGGAAUAACUUUGCCACAAUAUUUUUCAUUGGAGAAUUUGAUAGCAGUUAGUUCUUCUUUCUCUCAGUUUGUUAAUCAUAUGAGAGACACAAAGAGAGAAUGUAUUAGGCCAUUUGGAGGUGGAAGCAAGAGGCUAUAUCAUUAUUAAGUAUUAAUGGCAUUUUAUUUAGAACUAGAAAUCCUUUCGAUAAGGAUCAAAAUUACCUGUAGCCUUUCAGUUCACACAGGUAGCUUCUCAGACCAUGGGCGGCUCUCAAAUCUCUCUUAGUGGUCACAAUAGGCAGAGUUCUCAUAAGACAUUGUGGGGUAUUCAUCAUGGAUCUUUAGUCUAUGGCCGCCAUUCUGCAUCAUGGGUAUCAUAGCUCUGAGUAUCCCAGGAGCCUAUUUUGGUUGUGGCAAUAUUGGUCAUAGGUCUAGGGAGUGCCCUAGGAAUGAGUUAGUUGCUCAAAUAAGGUUAACAUAUGUUUCUCUCCAUCCUAGAGUUCUUGAUGUAUGUUAUCAUUGUAAGGAGUAUGGUCAUUUUAGUACAGAGUGUCCCUGGCAAUAGUUUAUCAACCAAUUGGGUCAACUCAUGUUUGUUGCUAGGUUAGGGCUUCAGGGGUUUUUUAUGACUACAAAGAGAAUGGGCAUUGUUCUAAAGAGUAUCCCCAACAUGGGAUUAUUAGUCAUUUAGCUCUUCUAGAUUAGCCAUGUAUAGAUGUGGCGCAUUUAGUUAGAGGUAAUUCACCUAGUGCCUUAAUUGGUGAUUCAAUUGCUCAGUAUAAGUUUGGAUCCACUCAGAUUCAUACGGUUUCAGGCACAUUUGUUUAUAACUUUAGAUUUCCACCAUUAUAGGAGGCCUUUAUUUCUCGCCUUUACCUUUUGAUCUGAAUAAAUUAUUUCCUGCCUUUACCUUUUUAUUUGGAUAAAUUGGGGUUUUCAUAACCAUUAAUGAUUAUGUGCCUUGGUAGGUUUGUACUAGUAGUUAUAUGCCUUGGUGUAGAGUUCAUAAUUAUGUGACUAUCCUCGUAGAUGAUUUCUUUUAGUAAUGGACAAAGUGGAUCAAUGUUGAUAUUUUUCUAUGGGUAUAGCAUUUGGGUUCGAGCCAUAUUUGCCAUGUCAUAUUGUCCUUCUUAUGGACCUAUAGUGGCACUUGUUGUUCAUUUCAUUUUUGUAUCAUCUACUCCUUAUACUGAUGUUUCUCUUAUUGUUGUUAUUAUUGUCAUUGUUUUGACAUUGAUCAAUCCUUUCUUAAUUGAUGAGACUAACAUUGUCUAGUUAGAACUCCUUUUCUUGUGAUUCUUGUUUAUUGGCCUAGGCGUCUAUCUUGAUUGGAUGUUUUUCCCUCUUUUAGCAAGGUGAGGUUGGUCAAUUUCCUCUUUUGUUGGGGAGGUUAGAUUAGUAGUUGAGUGGGAAAAAGUGGAGGUAGUUUUUCCUUCCAUGGUUCUGUUAUGGUUCUAGAGUUGGCAAUUUGUUUUUUAUUGCUUGUUUCUGAGUGAAGAUUCUAUGACUUUCCUUUUGGUUUGCUGGGAUUUCAGUAUUGGCUAUCUUUCUCCAUAGCCCAUUUCAAAGGUUGAUAAGUUUAGGAUUCAUUCUUUUGAUUUUUCCCAUCACACCUUUUUUUUAACUUGAAAAAGAUUGAUUUUAAGUUCGAAAAGGGUUUUAUUAAUAAAGUAACUAAAAAUGAAAAUUUGUUUUGACAAAGGAUUUUUACAAUUAAACUUAGAGUAGCCACUUGGCAUAAAUCUGGUGUGCCAAGUCACCGUUGGAAAUUCCUUUUUCAAAAUGAUUUUUUGACUCUUUAAAACUGGUCCCCGAACAAAUAUUCCAAUUAAGGAAUUUUAUUGAUCGAGGGCAAAGUGUUAGGAAUUCCUCAGUCUCUUGUUUCAACCACGGUUUCUUUGUGGUGUAUAUCGACUAGUAUGACACGAUAAAAUGCAUACAUCAACAAAACACACAAUAAGAAAACAAACAACAACACAGUUAAGACUCCAAAAAUUAGUGUCAAGUCCAAUUUAAUAUAGACCAAAAUAAAAAUGUUGAAAUAAAUCCCUAAGCUAUUCUAACUACCCUAAAGUAUGCUCUACCCGAGGCCUCAGACCAUGAUCACUAAACAUCUUCCACAUACAUGAAAAUUCAGGGCAUUCCCCAAUAAAUAAGUAUAAUUUAUCCUAGGUCAUCCCCCGAUAAAAUGAAUACAUUUUCAAUUUUGUGUAAUAAAUAAAAAAAUCUCAAACACAAUAAUUCAAUCACUCAACAAUCAUCAAUUUAUAUAAUUUUCCUAAUCAACCUAUCAUUUUCCUACUAGAUUCGAUGUAAACAUGAUACUAUUUCUCGAAUGAAAAAAUAUCUUGUUUUUGAUUAAUUCAACAACAUGAUAUAGAUUACCUCAAUGUUUUUCCAAUUUAAACAUAAACUCUCUAAGUUGAAUUAAUUACCCAAACUCAUUUUUUCAUCAAUUCAUAUUACCAAGAUCCAUUAUUCACAAAUAAAGAACAUCAAGCAUCAACAAUCACCGAAGAAAUGAAACAACGAUAGCGAAUCACAUUCACAAUCACAUAAAAAUUAAAAGGGAGAGAAGGAAGAGUUGGACCUCAAUUGUUAUUUUCAAUUCAUCAAAUUACACGGUUGGAGUUCCGACCAAAACAACUCAAUCAAAAAAUCAAUAGUGAACCCACCAACUCAAAUCCCUAAACUGACUAAUUGAACUUGAGCAACUAAUUCAAUGACGAAUGAAUCUCGAUAAAACUCAAAAUCAACAUCUGCAAGUUUCUAGUGGGUUUUCGAUGGGUUUUGUAUAGGUUUUUCGUUGGGUUUGGACAAAAAUGGGAAUGGGGAACGACUAAAAUGGGUUUUGGGUGGCGUUGGUUGAAUUUUCUAGUGGAUCGACAUGGAUUUUUGAUCGAAAAAUAGGGGACAAUUUUUAGGUAGGUCUGACCAGAGGAGGUCGACGAUUCUAGCGAAUUCUUUGACAGAAAAAUCUAAACUAAGCCAUUGUUUUCCUCCUCUAUUUUUACCUCUCUAUUUUCUCUCUGUUUUCUUAUUUAUUUAUCAAUAAUUUGCAUAGUUUUCUUGUGUUCUUAUCUUCCUUUCUUCACUCUAUCUGUUCCCUCUCUAUUCUUCAUUCUCAUCUAUCCCAUUUUUUCAUUGUCUUUUUCAUUUGAUUUUUAUCCUUCUUUCACUUAUAUUUCUCUCAAUUUUUCUAUAUUCAUUUAUUGUGUCCCUUUCUAUAGUUGUGUGUAUGUGAAUCCAUAUCCCCUCUAUAUUAUUUUUGCAUGGUGUAUAUAGUGUGUCGUUUGUUAGUGGAUAAAUUGAGGAAUCCAAUGAGUGUAAUCAUUAAAUGUGUGUGAAUUCCG
rnacentral:lncRNA from 1 species